rnacentral:tRNA from 1 species
CGGGGAGUAGCGCAUCCUGGUAGCGCAUCUGCUUUGGGAGCAGAGGGUCGCAGGUUCGAAUCCUGUCUCCCCGACCA